GACGAACGCUGGCGGCGUGCCUAAUACAUGCAAGUCGAGCGAGCUGAACCAACAGAUUCACUUCGGUGAUGACGUUGGGAACGCGAGCGGCGGAUGGGUGAGUAACACGUGGGGAACCUGCCCCAUAGUCUGGGAUACCACUUGGAAACAGGUGCUAAUACCGGAUAAGAAAGCAGAUCGCAUGAUCAGCUUAUAAAAGGCGGCGUAAGCUGUCGCUAUGGGAUGGCCCCGCGGUGCAUUAGCUAGUUGGUAGGGUAACGGCCUACCAAGGCAAUGAUGCAUAGCCGAGUUGAGAGACUGAUCGGCCACAUUGGGACUGAGACACGGCCCAAACUCCUACGGGAGGCAGCAGUAGGGAAUCUUCCACAAUGGACGAAAGUCUGAUGGAGCAACGCCGCGUGAGUGAAGAAGGUUUUCGGAUCGUAAAGCUCUGUUGUUGGUGAAGAAGGAUAGAGGUAGUAACUGGCCUUUAUUUGACGGUAAUCAACCAGAAAGUCACGGC
rnacentral:rRNA from 1 species